AUACGUAGGGGGCGAGCGUUGUCCGGAAUGAUUGGGCGUAAAGGGCGCGUAGGCGGCGCGGUAAGUCUGGAGUGAAAGUCCUGCUUUCAAGGUGGGAAUUGCUUUGGAUACUGCCGCGCUUGAGUGCAGGAGAGGUUAUCGGAAUUCCCGGUGUAGCGGUGAAAUGCGUAGAGAUCGGGAGGAACACCAGUGGCGAAGGCGGGUAACUGGACUGCAACUGACGCUGAGUCACGAAAGCGUGGGUAGCAAACAGGAUUAGAUACCCUGGUAGUCCACGCUGUAAACGAUGAGUGCUAGGUGUUGGGUAGCGAUAUUCAGUGCCGAAGUAAACACAAUAAGCACUCCGCCUGGGGAGUACGGUCGCAAGACUGAAACUCAAAUGAAUUGGCGGGG
rnacentral:rRNA from 1 species